rnacentral:rRNA from 1 species
GACGAACGCUGGCGGCGUGCCUAAUACAUGCAAGUCGAGCGGACUUAAAAAGCUUGCUUUUUAAGUUAGCGGCGGACGGGUGAGUAACACGUGGGCAACCUGCCUGUAAGACUGGGAUAACUUCGGGAAACCGGAGCUAAUACCGGAUAAUCCUUUUCUACUCAUGUAGAAAAGCUGAAAGACGGUUUACGCUGUCACUUACAGAUGGGCCCGCGGCGCAUUAGCUAGUUGGUGAGGUAACGGCUCACCAAGGCGACGAUGCGUAGCCGACCUGAGAGGGUGAUCGGCCACACUGGGACUGAGACACGGCCCAGACUCCUACGGGAGGCAGCAGUAGGGAAUCUUCCGCAAUGGACGAAAGUCUGACGGGGCAACGCCGCGUGAGUGAUGAAGGUUUUCGGAUCGUAAAACUCUGUUGUUAGGGAAGAACAAGUACGAGAGUAACUGCUCGUACCUUGACGGUACCUAACCAGAAAGCCACGGCUAACUACGUG